GACCCAGUGGCGAAAACUAUCGUGCCCGCACGGAUCGGGAGGGAUAUUGAUGGUAUUUGCGGGAGUUCCCUGUUCGACCCAGGGCUGGGUCG